GUAACAUUUCUAGCUUGCUAGAAGAUGACGAGCGGCGGACGGGUGAGUAAUGCUUGGGAACAUGCCUUGAGGUGGGGGACAACAGUUGGAAACGACUGCUAAUACCGCAUAAUGUCUACGGACCAAAGGGGGCUUCGGCUCUCGCCUUUAGAUUGGCCCAAGUGGGAUUAGCUAGUUGGUGAGGUAAUGGCUCACCAAGGCGACGAUCCCUAGCUGGUUUGAGAGGAUGAUCAGCCACACUGGGACUGAGACACGGCCCAGACUCCUACGGGAGGCAGCACA
rnacentral:rRNA from 1 species